CCUACGGGUGGCUGCAGUGGGGAAUAUUGGACAAUGGGGGGAACCCUGAUCCAGCCAUGCCGCGUGUGUGAAGAAGGUCCUCGGGUUGUAAAGCACUUUCAGUGAGGAAGAACGCCUGGUGGUUAAUACCCAUCAGGAAAGACAUCACUCACAGAAGAAGCACCGGCUAACUCCGUGCCAGCAGCCGCGGUAAUACGGAGGGUGCGAGCGUUAAUCGGAAUUACUGGGCGUAAAGCGCGCGUAGGUGGCUUGAUAAGCCGGUUGUGAAAGCCCCGGGCUCAACCUGGGAACGGCAUCCGGAACUGUCAAGCUAGAGUGCAGGAGAGGAAGGUAGAAUUCCCGGUGUAGCGGUGAAAUGCGUAGAGAUCGGGAGGAAUACCAGUGGCGAAGGCGGCCUUCUGGACUGACACUGACACUGAGGUGCGAAAGCGUGGGUAGCAAACAGGAUUAGAUACCCCUGUAGUC
rnacentral:rRNA from 1 species